rnacentral:misc_RNA from 1 species
AAACGUUCGAAUUUGGAAUUGGUCUAAACGGAACGCAACGCAGCAAUGGCCGACGUAUCGAUCGACGCAGCCAGUCGGCGCCCGGCCUCCGGACGGGUGACACGUGUGUUAAUUUGCGUCUUCGCGCUGCUCGAACUAACCUAACCAGUCGACCGCGUCUCCCACUAACACUACACACCUCUCUCUGUUCCUGAAAAACGAAUGAAAUAUGAUUUGGCGUUAUUUGAAAGUGUUGGUGUCAGGCAAAAGAGAAUAAUGGAUUGUAUUUCGAACACACCCUUGUAAACACAGG